GGUGGGGUGGCCGAGCGGCUGAAGGCGCCGGUCUUGAAAACCGGUAGAGGGCUCGUCUCUCUCGCGGGUUCGAAUCCCGCCCCCACCG
rnacentral:tRNA from 1 species